AACCAUGGCAACGGUUGCUUAGUACUACUGUUUUAAAGCAACAAACAAUGGACUACGCAUACGGGUUCGCAGCUUUCGGUGUGCUGCUCGUUGCUUUUUAUUUUUGGUAUAUAUACAACAUAACAGCAAUGAAGUAAAAAGGAAGCAGCAACUCCCCGUUUACAGUUUUCCUAAUGUAGCUUUAAGUUUUUUGUUUGCUUACCAUCCGCCGAUUCAGUGGAGAAGAGCGAAUCCUUCUCCUUGUCUUCUACUUUGAUUGGCUUCGGAUCUGGCCUAGGUGAAGUUGGCAUUUUGCUUCACGAUGUGCCGAAGUUUACGGAGAAAUGAUUUGAUGUAUUUAAUGACGUUGCUAUGUUAGUGAAAAUGACAGACGUGUUUGAUCGAUAUUGCUGAAUUCCAUGAACGAACUUAUUUCUUUACUAUGUUUUAACGUAUAUUGUUUGUGAUAUUCAUUUAUGUGUGUAUUUUUUAUGAAAAUUAUAAUGUUUAAAUGA